AAAAAAAAAAAAAAAGGUGUUAAAAAGUCACCCAUAGCCAAUUAAAAUAUCAUAUCUUAAAAUGAGUUUAAAAAAAAAUAAGUUUAAUAAAGUGGCCAGUGGCUUUUUUAUAUACCAGUAACACUCAGAUGGGGAUAUGGAAAAGUUACUUUCAAAUAGUAGUGGCAACAAUAACAACAUGAAAUGCUUAGAAAUAAACUAAUAAGAAAUGCAUGAGAUACAUGAAUAAAGUGACCAAACUUUAGUAAUAGGUAUAAAAGAAGAUUUUGAGUAAUACAGAAACAUUUCUGGAUAAGAAUACCUAAUAUUGUAGAGGUUUCAGUUCUAUCGAGAUUAAUAGUCAGAUUUACCUUAAUCCCAACAUAAAAUUUACUGAUUUUUUUUUUUCUGAGUGGCAGAACGAUCUGCAAAAAUAAAAAGUUCAGAACAGUUAUGGCAAUUUUUAAAAGUGGCAUAAUGAAGGACUUUGAAGAGAAUGGGAAAUUCCUUGCUAGGUAUUAACUGGUAGUCUUUAUUACAAUUUGGUUUCAGUACAAGAUUUGAAAUACGUAUGUUUUAGUUCUAGUACAAGAUUUUAAAUAUAAAUGGAUAGUUUUAGAGUUCCAAACACUGUAAGCCCUUUUAAUAUAAAAUAACCUAAAUUUCUACUAAAGUAAACAUAAGUCAGAGAAGUUAUUGAUUAAUAUCUAAUGCUGGGAAAAUUGGCUGUUGGAAAAGGAGAGGGAUCAGGCUAUAUCCUCACCCUUAAUUGGAAUAAAUUCCAGAAGGAAUGAGUGGUGAAUGUUAAAAAGGAAAACAUAAUCAGAAGAAAUUAUAUAGGUAGAAACGAACAACAGGCUCUUAAAACACUUUCUAAAGCUAAAUGCAAUGGAAAAAUAAGAGAAAAAGAUGGAUAAUAUUUGAUUAUAUAAAAUUUUAAAAACAUUUGUAUGUCAAAACAUAAAGAGAUAUAAGGACACUUUACCGAAAACUUUACACCACAUAUAAUAGACAACAGGUUGCCCUCACUAUAUAAAUAAUUCUUAAAAACAAACAAAACGACGCGGGGACCGGAACAGAGAGACCAGACACCGAGCGGCAGCUUCCCCGAGAUCGAGGGACGCGGUAGCCAGAGGAGAAGAAAGGAACCCCGGUUGGACCAGAUCGGAACCGCUGACCAUUGCCCAUGGCGGUCCUAGGCCCCAGCAGCCAGAAUGUCACUGAAUACAUCGUUCGAGUUCCAAAGAAUACAACCAAAAAAUAUAACAUCGUGGCUUUUAAUGCAGCUGAUAAAGUCAACUUUGCCACGUGGAAUCAGGCCCAGCUGGAGCGGGACUUGAGCAACAAGAAAAUCUACUAAGAGGAGGAGAUGGCCGAGUCAGGCGCGGGCAGCGAGUUCAACCGCAAGCUCCUGGAAGCUCGGAGGAAGAAGCUCGGCAUCGUCCUUAAGGAGUUCCAGCCGAGGACCAGCCCUGGCUGCUCCGCGUCAAUGGCAAAUCCGGCAGGAAGUUCAAGGGCAUCAAGAAGGGAGGCGUGACAGAAAAUACAUCCUACUAUAUCUUCACCCAGUGCCCCGACGGGGCCUUUGAGGCCUUCCCGGUGCACAACUGGUACAAUUUCAUGCUGCUGGCCUGGCACUGCACGCUCACUGCUGAGGAGGCCGAGGAGGAGUGGGAGAGGAGGAACAAGGUGCUGAACCACUUCAGCAUCAUGCAGCAGUGGCGGCUCAAGGACCAGGAGCAGGACAAGGAGGAGAAGGAGAAGCGCGGCCGCAGGAAGGCGAGCAAGCUGCGCAUCCACAACCUGGAGGACGACCUGGAGAUGUCGUCCGAUGCCAGUGACGCCAGCGGUGAGGAGGGUGGCAGAGCCCCCAAGGCCAAGAAGAAGGCGCCCCUGGCCAAGGGCAGCAGGAAGAAGAAGAAGAAGGGCUCAGAUGACGAGGCCUUCGAGGACAGCGAUAAUGGGGACUUCGAGGGCCGGGAGGUGGACUACAUGUCGGACGGCUCCAGCAGCUCCAUGGAAGAGCCCGAGACCAAGGCCAAGGUGCCGCAGCAGGAGGAGGGGCCCAAGGGCGUCGAUGAGCAGAGCGACAGUAGCGAGGAGAGCGAGGAGGAGAAGCCACCUGAGGAGGACAAGGAGGAGGAGGAGGAGGAGAAGGCGCCCACCCCGCAGGAGAAGCAGCACAGGAAAGACAGCAGCGAUGAAUCAGACAGCUCAGAGGAGAGUGACAUUGACAGUGAGGCCUCCUCGGCCCUCUUCAUGGUGAAGAAGAAGACACCGCCCAAGAGAGAGCGGAAGCUGUCGGGAGGGAGCUCAAGGGGCAACAGCCGCCCGGGCACGCCCAGCACAAAGGGCGGCAGCACCUCCUCCACCCUGCGUGCCGCCGCCAGCAAACUCCAGCAAGGGAAGCGGGUGAGCGAGGCGCCUGCAGCCAAGCGGUUACGUCUGGAUGCGGGGCCCCAGAGCCUGUCCGGAAAGUCGACUCCCCAGCCACCGUCGGGCAAGUCGACACCCAGCAGCGGAGACGUGCAGGUGACUGAGGACGCCGUGCGCCGCUACCUGACGCGGAAGCCCAUGACCACUAAGAACCUGCUGAAAAAAUUCCAGACCAAGAAGACCGGGCUGAGUAGCGACCAGACGGUGAAUGUGCUGGCCCAGAUCCUCAAGCGCAUCAACCCCGAGCGCAAGAUGAUCAACGAUAAGAUGCAUUUCUCCCUCAAAGAGUGAGCCUCUGUCCAAUAUACAGCUCUGCU